rnacentral:rRNA from 1 species
GUACAAUAAGCAAAAUAAGGGCGUAUGGGGAAUGCCUAGGCUCUCAGAGGCGAAGAAGGACGUGAUAAGCUGCGAAAAGCUGCGGGGAUUGGCACAUACAAGUUGAUCCGCAGGUAUCCGAAUGGGGCAACCCAGUACAUUGAAGAUGUACUACCGCGCAAGCGGGGCAAACCCGGGGAACUGAAACAUCUAAGUACCCGGAGGAAGAGAAAACAAUAGUGAUUCCGAUAGUAGCGGCGAGCGAAAUCGGAUUAGCCCAAACCGUACAGUUCACGGACUGUGCGGGGUUGUAGGACCACGAUAUUUGGUGCUUUAUGAAUAAGAACACGUUGGAAAGCGUGGCCAUAGACGGUGAUAGCCCGGUAUUAGUAAAGACAGUUACCGAUAGUGGUAUCCUGAGUAGUGCGGGGCACGUGAAACCCUGUAUGAAUCCGGCGGGACCAUCCGCCAAGGCUAAAUACUCCUGAGAGACCGAUAGUGAACCAGUACCGUGAGGGAAAGGUGAAAAGAACCGUGAACAACGGAGUGAAAUAGAACCUGAAACCAUACGCCUACAAGCGGUCGGAGCCAGUUUACUGGUGACGGCGUGCCUUUUGCAUAAUGAGCCUACGAGUUACUGUUGCCAGCGAGGUUAAGGUCCUUAGGACCGGAGCCGCAGCGAAAGCGAGUCUGAAUAGGGCGCCAUAGUUGGUAGUAGUAGACGCGAAACCGUGUGAUCUACCCUUGGGCAGGCUGAAGUUUGGGUAACACCAAAUGGAGGGCCGAACCCGUUGACGUUGAAAAGUCUUGGGAUGACCUGAGGGUAGGGGUGAAAGGCCAAUCAAACUCGGAAAUAGCUCGUACUCCCCGAAAUGCAUUUAGGUGCAGCGUUGACAUAUAGUUUUAUAGAGGUAGAGCUACUGAUUGGAUGCGGGGGCUUCACCGCCUACCAAUUCCUGACAAACUCCGAAUGCUAUAAAAUGUUGGUCAGCAGUGAGGGCAUGGGUGCUAAGGUCCAUGUCCGAGAGGGAAAGAACCCAGACCAUCAGCUAAGGUCCCCAAAUGAUAGUUAAGUUGAAAAAACGAGGUUGGACUGCACAGACAGCUAGGAUGUUGGCUUGGAAGCAGCCAUUCAUUUAAAGAGUGCGUAACAGCUCACUAGUCGAGCGGUCCGGCAUGGAUAAUAAUCGGGCAUAAACUAUCUACCGAAGCUAUGGACUUGAAUUUAUUCAAGUGGUAGGGGAGCAUUCUGUUUGCGUCGAAGGUGUACCGCGAGGUAUGCUGGAGCGUACAGAAAAGAAAAUGUAGGCAUAAGUAACGAUAAUGCGGGCGAGAAACCCGCACUCCGAAAGACUAAGGUUUCCCCAGCUAUGCUAAUCAGCUGGGGGUUAGUCGGGACCUAACGCGAACCCGAAAGGGGUAGUGGAUGGACAACGGGUUAAUAUUCCCGUACCUGCCCGCGCCAAAAGCGACGGAGGCGUAAAUUUGGUGCGCACUGACGGAAUAGUGCGUUGAAGCCAGUGGCAACACGGCGAUAGUACACUGAGGCUCCGGCCAAGGUGAUAAUCCAGAGUAGCGACUUCCAAGAAAAGCGAGCGAGGCAGCCCGUACCCUAAACCGACACAGGUGGUUGGGAUGAGAAUUCUAAGGAGCUCGAGAGAUUCAUGGCUAAGGAACUAGGCAAAAUGGACGCGUAACUUCGGGAGAAGCGUCGCCCCCCUCCGGGGGGGCCGCAGUGAAAGAGUCCAGGCGACUGUUUAUCAAAAACACAGGGCUCUGCAAAAUCGAAAGAUGAAGUAUAGGGCCUGACACCUGCCCGGUGCUGGAAGGUUAAGAGGAGAUGUCAUCCGCCUCGGCGGAGAAGCAUUGAAUUGAAGCCCCAGUAAACGGCGGCCGUAACUAUAACGGUCCUAAGGUAGCGAAAUUCCUUGUCGGGUAAGUUCCGACCUGCACGAAUGGUGUAACGAUCUGGACACUGUCUCAGCCAUGAGCUCGGUGAAAUUGUAGUAUCGGUGAAGAUGCCGAUUACCCGCUGUGGGACGAAAAGACCCCGUGCACCUUUACUAUAGCUUAGUAUUGGUUUUGGACAAGUAAUGUGUAGGAUAGGUGGGAGACUUUGAAGCCGCGUCGCCAGGCGUGGUGGAGUCAUUGUUGAAAUACCACCCUUUGCUUGUCUAGAGUCUAACCCUUCACAAAAGGGGACAGUGCUUGGUGGGUAGUUUGACUGGGGUGGUCGCCUCCAAAAGAGUAACGGAGGCUUCUAAAGGUUCCCUCAAUACGGUUGGCAAUCGUGUGUAGAGUGCAAUGGCAUAAGGGAGCUUGACUGAGAGACCUACAAGUCGAUCAGGUACGAAAGUAGAGCAUAGUGAUCCGGUGGUUCCGCAUGGAAGGGCCAUCGCUCAAAGGAUAAAAGGUACGCCGGGGAUAACAGGCUGAUCUCCCCCAAGAGCUCACAUCGACGGGGGGGUUUGGCACCUCGAUGUCGGCUCGUCACAUCCUGGGGCUGGAGAAGGUCCCAAGGGUUGGGCUGUUCGCCCAUUAAAGUGGCACGCGAGCUGGGUUCAGAACGUCGUGAGACAGUUCGGUCUCUAUCUACAGUGGGCGCAAGAAAUUUGAGUGGAUCUGAUCCUAGUACGAGAGGACCGGAUUGGACCGACCGCUGGUGCACCAGUUGUCCCGCCAGGGGCACCGCUGGGUAGCUACGUCGGGAAGGGAUAAGCGCUGAAAGCAUAUAAGCGCGAAACCCACCACAAGAUGAGAUUUCUUUAAAGGGCCGUGGGAGACUACCACGUUGAUAGGCCGUAGGUGCAGGGGCAGCAAUGUCCGUAGCCGAGCGGUACUAAUAGCCCGUAAGCUUAUGUACGCC